UACAGGGGGGGCAAGCGUUGUUCGGAAUUACUGAGCGUAAAGGGCUCGUAGGUGGUCAACUAAGUCAGACGUGAAAUCCCUCGGCUCAACCGGGGAACUGCGUCUGAGACUGGAAGGCUUGAAUCCGGGAGAGGGGGAUGGAAUUCCGCGUGUAGCAGUGAAAUGCGUAGAUAUGCGGAGGAACACCGAUGGCGAAGGCAAUCCCCUGGACCUGUACUGACGCUCAUGCACGAA
rnacentral:rRNA from 1 species